GAUGAAGAACGUAGCGAAAUGCGAUAAUUAAUGUGAAUUGCAGAAUUCCGUGAAUCAUCGAGUCUUUGAACGCACAUUGCGCCUCAUGGCAUUCCGUGAGGCAUGCCCAUCUCAGCGUUAGAAAAUAUUCUCAAAUUUUAGUUUUGUGCUAAAAUUUGGAUGAUGUCAAGGAAGCUAUUACUAUUAUUGUGAUCGCUCUUUGGAAAUUGAUAGGUCUUUGAGUUGCUACUCAUAGAACGUGAUGAAUCUUUCUUCGUUCUAUUGUAAUUCACUCUGGUAGUCCUAAAACUUGUAUGCCUGUGGCAUAUCUUGUAAUUUGACCUGAGAUUGGGUAGGGAUACCCGCUGAACUUAAGCAUAUCAAUAAGCGGAGGA
rnacentral:misc_RNA from 1 species